CCCUUUAAUAAUGGGGCACUCCUCCCUUUCAAGGUUGUUUUUUUGGUUUGGUUUCCCUGCUCAGGAUGAACGCUGGCGGCGUGCCUAAUACAUGCAAGUCGAGCGAACGGACGAGAAGCUUGCUUCUCUGAUGUUAGCGGCGGACGGGUGAGUAACACGUGGAUAACCUACCUAUAAGACUGGGAUAACUUCGGGAAACCGGAGCUAAUACCGGAUAAUAUUUUGAACCGCAUGGUUCAAAAGUGAAAGACGGUCUUGCUGUCACUUAUAGAUGGAUCCGCGCUGCAUUAGCUAGUUGGUAAGGUAACGGCUUACCAAGGCAACGAUGCAUAGCCGACCUGAGAGGGUGAUCGGCCACACUGGAACUGAGACACGGUCCAGACUCCUACGGGAGGCAGCAGUAGGGAAUCUUCCGCAAUGGGCGAAAGCCUGACGGAGCAACGCCGCGUGAGUGAUGAAGGUCUUCGGAUCGUAAAACUCUGUUAUUAGGGAAGAACAUAUGUGUAAGUAACUGUGCACAUCUUGACGGUACCUAAUCAGAAAGCCACGGCUAACUACGUGCCAGCAGCCGCGGUAAUACGUAGGUGGCAAGCGUUAUCCGGAAUUAUUGGGCGUAAAGCGCGCGUAGGCGGUUUUUUAAGUCUGAUGUGAAAGCCCACGGCUCAACCGUGGAGGGUCAUUGGAAACUGGAAAACUUGAGUGCAGAAGAGGAAAGUGGAAUUCCAUGUGUAGCGGUGAAAUGCGCAGAGAUAUGGAGGAACACCAGUGGCGAAGGCGACUUUCUGGUCUGUAACUGACGCUGAUGUGCGAAAGCGUGGGGAUCAAACAGGAUUAGAUACCCUGGUAGUCCACGCCGUAAACGAUGAGUGCUAAGUGUUAGGGGGUUUCCGCCCCUUAUUGCUGCAGCUAACGCAUUAAGCACUCCGCCUGGGGAGUACGACCGCCCGGGUGAUACUCACAGGAAUUGACGGGGACCCCCACCACCGUUGUAGCAUGUGGUUUAUUUCGAAACAGCGCGCAGAAACAUUACUAUACCCUGACGUCCGUUGACAACUCUACGCAUAGAGCUUUACUCUUCCGCGGGACAGAGUAACAGGUUGUUGCAUGGAUGAUGGUCCGCUCCCAUCAGGAGGAUGUUUGGCUUGAGUGCUUACAUCCUUCACCACGCCGUGAGCCUUAUUAUGCCUUGUUGCCUUUCGGUGAAGUGAGAGAAUAAUUUACUUGUG
rnacentral:rRNA from 1 species